UACAGAGGGUGCAAGCGUUAAUCGGAAUUACUGGGCGUAAAGCGUGCGUAGACGGUUACAUAAGUCGGGUGUGAAAGCCCGGGGCUCAACUCCGGAAUUGCCUUUAAAACUGCAUCGCUAGAAUUGUGGAGAGGUAAGUGGAAUUCCGAGUGUAGAGGUGAAAUUCGUAGAUAUUCGGAAGAACACCAGUGGCGAAGGCGACUUACUGGACACAUAUUGACGCUGAGGUGCGAAAGCGUGGGGAGCAAACAGG
rnacentral:rRNA from 1 species